GUUGCGAUGGCCGAGGGGUUAAGGCGGUCGACUCGAAAUCCAAGGGGAUCUUUCCGCGCAGGUUCGAAUCCUGCCCGCAACG
rnacentral:tRNA from 2 species